CUUGAUUGAGGUUGUUAUCGAGAUUGUAUGGGAGAAAUUAGAUUAUUGCUAAGGGCCUACGACAAGGUUGCUGCCUAUCCCCGAUGUUAUUUAAAAUCUAUCUAAAUGAAGCUUUAGAAAAAUGGAGAAGAUCGAGUAGAGGAAUGGGAAUACCAAUUGAUGACGAAACAAGUCUACCGGGUGGUGGAUCGUCGCUGGAAACAUACGAAAUCCCAUGCAAAUUUUAUCCAAAUAUUGGUUAGGUUUGGUUAGGACAUGACUGUUUAUUUGGCUUCUUAUUAGAUCGUUCUCUGAGUGGUGGUAGUACGACAUAUCUAGUUUUUUCAGUGGAGAUAAUCAUGUCUAAUUCUGGGCUUACUUGGUAGAAUUUAUGAAACUGCCUCUGGAUAUCAUCCUCCGUCUCCGCGAUAAUGGCUGCAUCAUCGGCCGUAGCA